rnacentral:lncRNA from 1 species
CUGCUUCUCCAGGAAGUUGUACCCUUCAGCACCUGCUGAGGGCUUUGUUGUCCAAACUCUGACAGGUAAAAAAAUUCCUGUAGAAUAAAGCCAGACCAGCUGGCUUUGAAGAGAAACCCCCCAGUUUGGGCUGCGCUUGUCUCUUCUCCUUUUCUAUGAAGACCCAGGCUUUCCCCCCUUGAUCGUCAAGCCGUAAGAUGCGUGAUCCCUGUGCACAAGUGUCUGGCAGGCCGAGGUGCACCUGUUCCUGUCACUCUGGGGUAAAUUUAGCUGUAAAGGUAUCACUGACAACCAGACCUUUGUCAGUGUUGGCAAAAGAACACAGAAUUGCUUCGCUCCCCUCCCCCUUCCAAGCCCCAAUGCUGCUAGUUCAAAUGGAAAAUAUCAAAUUGGAAGUCUAUCCAAAAAUCAUUCCUAAAAAAUGAGAUUGCUUUCAUAUGGUAAAAAAGUAAGUUUCCUCAUUUCACGCAGACUUUAAAAUUACAUUUCCAAGAAUAAUCUUGGAACAAGACAAGUUUUUGUUCAAUUAAUUGUGGCUGGAAACUUUUUAAUGGAAACAUAGCACACACUUACUUCAUUUCAGAUUAUUAAAUUGUGUUAAGCCUUAAAGUUAGUUGCCAUUCUUUGCUGUAGCUCAUUUGUUCUUUUCAAUCCAGAGAAAUAUUAGAACGUUAAAACUUAUCACAUAGGAGGGUUUAAUCAUCCUACCAAAAUUAGACAGCAUGUAGCUCUGAAAGACUGAAUGUCAAAUUGUGUGCUCGUAGCCCUUAAACUACUGAGAAUCUAGGACCCCACUACUACAUUUAAAAUGACUGUUCAUGUUUGUGGAAAACCGUGGACGUUUAGGAACUGGUAAAGCUAGAGGUCUCUUACUCUUUGAUUAAGGUAAGGACAUUUAUCGUUUAUGUAAAUUUUUUAGAUUAAUUGCUGUACUGACAGUUUGAGAACAAUUCCUUUUGAAGGAAAAUGGAGAGGCAGGCAGUGUUCAUUGCUAUGUCCGGCAUAAAUACAGUAGUUAACAUAUAUAAAGUAGCCCAAAGAGUAUUGUGUUUAGCCAAAGCAUUCUGAGCUUCUCUUUAAUAAUUAUGAUUUCUUAAGUGGUGUUAAAAAGAAUUGUGCAAAGUACCUGUUCUACCAUAUUAUUGCUGUUUACAAGGGCUGGGUGUGAUGAGAAAAAGAAAUCUGGGUCAAAAUAAAAAAUGCUUUGUAAAAUAAACAAAGUUCCUAUUUACUUACUAUGUAUAAACAGCCACUCACCAAGCCUCAUUUCUCCGCAGGGCACCACUUUCAGAUAAAAACAUAGACCUGAAUGGCAUCAUCCAGUAUCCAAGGAAACCAUGU